GCGUUUUGUCAUCCCCUUCCGCGCUGCGAGGCCUUAUGGGAUUUGUAGUACUUCGGGAGAGCCUCGGGCGUGCCUGGAGGGGGUUGUCCAAGCAACCCCGGUGGAUAGCAAAUCUAAGUGAUGCGCUAGUAGCUUCCACCCAUACAGGGGAAAAAACACUUCGUUUCGAACUCCUCUCGCCAUGGGAACUUGACUUUGUUAUUUCUUUGUUUGUCCGCAGCUUUCAAAUCCAAGACUUCGGAAUCUGAGUCCCGCAGUUCGCGCAUCUACUCGCCUGUACUUGGAGCAGGGAAGCUUUCUUAGAGAUGCAGUGGCCCUCAAAGUCUGUGGAUUAUCUGUAUAGUAUUAUCCAGCUUCUCCAGCACAUGCCCUGUUCCUAGUUACCCUUCCAUAGCCCUUCAAUCAUAGAGCCCAAAGAGUGAUAUUACCCGACUAACUCUAUCCCCACUUCUGCCCCUAAACUACAGGCCACAGCUAAAAUACGAUGAUCAUUUUAAAAGAUCUGCUUCACAGACAGCGCCCCGCUACCCGCAAGAGGAUGGGUUUUUUGGUUUGGUUUGGUUUUUUUUGUGUUGUUUUGUUUUGUUUUAAAGAACGAGAAAGAGUAUAUGGGAAGGCUUGUGCUAUAACUCUUGUAAAAAUAGCAUCACCUGAGACAAGAACUUUAGCCAAGGAGAGGUAGAGAAUAAGAUUUGGAUUUAGUUUUGGUUAAGCCAUUUCACCACUGUAUGAAGUCUCACGGGCUUGGCACAUCUCAGUUUUCUCAUCUACAAAACUGAUGUAAAACAAACUACUUCAUAGGGUUGUAGUGAAAAAUUAAAUCCUGAAUGUGAAAGCACUUUGGAACUCCUAAGGUGCUGUGAACUGUAGGUGCUGGCUGUGUUUAAAUUUAUCACUCCUCAGGAGGCUUUCAAUUAACGGGUGGCAAAAGGAAUGGAGGAAACAGCACUUUGAUGUAUUAAAUGCAAACCUUCAUUAUUUAUUACUCUAGACUAAUUCUUUAUUGUUCAGUGCUCUUUUAUCUGCAGGUGACAGAAAUCCAGCCAGAUGAAGCUCCUGUGAGAGAAGGGUGUAUUGUCCAGGUCACGCUGAAGGAGGAGUGAUCCAAGGAAAACAGCUAUAUCCAUUCUUUUUGCCAUUUGCUCAAACCCAUCAUCACUGUAGAGAGCAUGGACCAGCACAUUCAACUUGAUUAAGAAAAUGUUGGAGGCCUGGCAUUGAUGGCACACACCUUUAAUCCCAGCACUCAGGAGGCAGAGGCAGGCAGAUCUCUGUGAGUUCGAGACCAGCCUGGUCUCCAGAGCGAGUACCAGGAUAGGCUCCAAAGCUACACAGAGAAAUCCUGUCUCUAAAAACCAAAAAGAAAAAAAAAAAAAGAAAAAGAAAAUGUUGGCUAAAGCCUUUUGUACUAUAAAUAUUGUAGAUGAAAACUGAAUUCAUACAACUAAGGAGUUUGCCCUGUGUGUAUUUAUUUCAUUACCUGAACAGUGUCUCCUCCUGACUCUAGAAAGUUCUUCCCCCACUGGUGACUGAAUCCUGGUACUGACUCUUCUAGCCACAAAGAAGGCACCUGAUCCAGACGUGAAUAACCCAGGUGCUUCCAUGAGCCUAGUGUAUUAGGGGUGAGUAGCCUCUGGGCCAUGCGAAUGCAUCCUCCAUGUUGAUGCUUCUACCCAGCUAUUCUUGAGCACUGGCCCUCUGCCACUGGUUGAACACAGCUGUCCCGGUGGGCUACAAAGAUGUCCUUGAUGGUCAUAUCCUCACUGACUGAUGACUCGGCUGUGGCGUAAGUCCCCUCUGUGUAAUGAAAUAAUUUGUAUACUUCUUUGUCUUCUCUCUUCAAUGUUAGAACUCUGCUAGGAAAGAGAUCUCACUAACUUCUUGUAUCCCCAAGAUACCCUGCUGGACACUUUAUACACAAUAGGUACUUGGAUGUGAAUUCUCAGCGUCCUGCUCCUACUGCCAUGCCUGACUGCCACGAUGGAUUCUUAUUCCCCUGGAAUCACAAGUCAAAUAAAUGCUUUCUUCCAUAAGUUGCUUUUUGGUCACGGUGUUUUAUCACAGCAACUGAAAAGUAAAUGAUACACUAGGCAUGCCUUCAAAAGGUAAAUCUUGUCCCCAGUCCCUAUGACCCUUCUCUGCUUCUUGGCUGCCAUGAGGUGAGCAGCCUUCUCCAG
ensembl:lncRNA